GACCUGCACCAAGGCCGCCAGCGCGAAGAAGGCGGCCAUGAGUCCGUUGCAGGCCCGCCACAGCGCUGGCGCCAUGGCUCGGAGAACACGGCGCGGGGCGCACCUGACAUACCUGGAUAUAAACAAUAUCCAAGGCCCCUAAGGUAAAAGCCUUGCUCCAAGUCCCCUUCUGACUUCUAGUCACUUCCGUGCUGCCAGCAGAGGGCGUGGGAUUCUUCCUGAGGAGCCUGAGUCUCAGCUUUGCCAGGUCCUUGCUGUGUGACCUUGGGCACCUGUGCUCCCUUGACAAAGAGGAAUAAAACCUCUUCAGACUACUCUCCUAUCGAUUCUCUCCUGGAACAUAUGACCACCAUCAAUUAUAGGCAAGAACAUGAACACGGGAGUCCCAAAGACUUGGGUUCAAAUGUCAGCCCCUUCACUCGCUGGCUGUAGGUGUGAGGCCCUGGGUAAGGUCCUUACCUCCCCAAGUGUCUGAGCCUGUUCCCGUAUAAUGUUCACUUGCCUUGAAUAUCAUGAAAUGUACAUUAGACUUUGUAAGUAAACACCUAGCUGAG
rnacentral:lncRNA from 1 species